rnacentral:rRNA from 1 species
UACGGAGGGAGCUAGCGUUGUUCGGAAUUACUGGGCGUAAAGCGCACGUAGGCGGCUUUUUAAGUCAGGGGUGAAAUCCCGGGGCUCAACCCCGGAACUGCCCUUGAAACUGGAGAGCUAGAAUCUUGGAGAGGCGAGUGGAAUUCCGGAGUGUAGAGGUGAAAUUCGUAGAUAUUCGGAAGAACACCAGUGGCGAAGGCGACUCGCUGGACAAGUAUUGACGCUGAGGUGCGAAAGCGUGGGGAGCAAACAGG